CACGUAGGGUGCGAGCGUUGUCCGGAAUUAUUGGGCGUAAAGAGCUCGUAGGCGGUGUGUCGCGUCGGCCGUGAAAACCUGCAGCUUAACUGUGGGCUUGCGGUCGAUACGGGCAUCACUGGAGUUCGGCAGGGGAGACUGGAAUUCCUGGUGUAGCGGUGAAAUGCGCAGAUAUCAGGAGGAACACCGGUGGCGAAGGCGGCUCUCUGGACGGUGACUGACGCUGAGACGCGAAAGCGUGGGGAGCAAACAGG
rnacentral:rRNA from 1 species